AAUGAAGUGCCUGAAAAAGGAUUAUCUUGAUAGGAUAAAUUAUACACAAUAAAUUGUGUCUUUAUUA
rnacentral:tRNA from 1 species